UGGCCCGAUGUGAGAACUCCUCGCCUUGGCCCAAUGUGAGAACUCCCGCUCCGCGUGCCGCCCGCAGCUGUGAAAGAACAUUGAAGGGAUGCUCGUGGAAGAUGAGGUCAAGAAGCUGCGAGAAGAACGUUGAUGGGAUGCUCACGGAAGAUGAGGUCAAGAAGGUGGAUACGCCCAUGAUGCAUGUUAACAUGAUGGAUGAGUAGUCUGCUCGUGACGAAGACCCCUAACUAUGAUGUCAUCUAGUCUCAUUUGUUACGUGCAUAUGCAUACUCUAUUCGUAAUUGCGGGGACAUUUCCUUUCUAAUGCGAUUAAUGGGCGCAUACAAUAAACACAUAAGCGUUGAGUUAGGAGGAAUACCCAUUUGUCUGCAGUGUGCUCUUAAUACGCUCUUGCC